rfam:Triticum aestivum genome assembly, contig: Triticum_aestivum_CS42_TGACv1_scaffold_223089_3B
UUACUACUCCCUCCGUUCGGAAUUACUUGUCACAAAAAUAGAUAGAAAUGGAUGUAUCUACAACUAAAAUACAUCUAGAUACAAUCAUUUCUUGGACGAGUAAUUCCGAACAGAGGCAGUAUUUA